rnacentral:lncRNA from 1 species
GUCCCAGAUGUCCCCAGAGGUGUAUCUGAGAUGUCCCCACUGUCCCCUCAGAAGUCCCAGAUGUCCCCAGGUAUCUCAGGUGUCCCCAAUGUCCCCUCAGAAGUCCCCAAUGUCCUCAGUGUCCCCUCAGUGUCUCCUCAGAAGUCCCAGAUAUCCCCUCAGUGUCCCCAAUGUCCCCCCAAAGUCCCCAGUGUCCGCAAUGUCCCCUCAGAAGUCCCACAUGUCCUCCGGUGUCUCAGAUGUCCCCAGUGUCCCCUCAAUGUCCCCAGAGAUGUCCCCAGGUGUGUAUCACGUGUCCCAGAUGUCCCCAAUGUCGCCUCAAUGUCCCCUCAGAAGUCCCAGAUGUCCCCCAUGUCCCCAGGUGUCUCAGAUGUCCCCAAUGUCCCCUCAGUGUCCCCAAUGUCCCUCAGAAGUCCCAGAUGUCCCCAGAGGUGUAUCUGAGAUGUCCCCAAUGUCCCCA